CGCUAUGGGAUGGCCCCGCGGUGCAUUAGCUAGUUGGUAAGGUAACGGCUUACCAAGGCAAUGAUGCAUAGCCGAGUUGAGAGACUGAUCGGCCACAUUGGGACUGAGACACGGCCCAAACUCCUACGGGAGGCAGCAGUAGGGAAUCUUCCACAAUGGACGCAAGUCUGAUGGAGCAACGCCGCGUGAGUGGAGAAGGUUUUCGGAUCGUAAAGCUCUGUUGUUGGUGAAGAAGGAUAGAGGUAGUAACUGGCCUUUAUUUGACGGUAAUCAACCAGAAAGUCACGGCUAACUACGUGCCAGCAGCCGCGGUAAUACGUAGGUGGCAAGCGUUGUCCGGAUUUAUUGGGCGUAAAGCGAGCGCAGGCGGAAGAAUAAGUCUGAUGUGAAAGCCCUCGGCUUAACCGAGGAACUGCAUCGGAAACUGUUUUUCUUGAGUGCAGAAGAGGAGAGUGGAACUCCAUGUGUAGCGGUGGAAUGCGUAGAUAUAUGGAAGAACACCAGUGGCGAAGGCGGCUCUCUGGUCUGCAACUGACGCUGAGGCUCGAAAGCAUGGGUAGCGAACAGGAUUAGAUACCCUGGUAGUCCAUGCCGUAAACGAUGAGUGCUAAGUGUUGGGAGGUUUCCGCCUCUCAGUGCUGCAGCUAACGCA
rnacentral:rRNA from 1 species